rnacentral:lncRNA from 1 species
GUGGGUAGAAAUCACGAUAAAAAGAAAUAUAUAACAUUAAUUAUAUUGCUUUUUGUUUUGUUCUUUGUACACCAUUAUGUUUGUUUGAUUAAUGCUACACUCCAUUAAAGUUUCUACUAUUUAUACAAGUUUGUUGUUUAUAUUAUAAAAAUAUUUUAUGGUUAGUCUAGAGAGUCGUCCAAAGUUCAAAAUUUUAGAAGAGAAGGAUGACAUGACCCCUGAUAU